UAGAUGGAGGCAUCAUGAAAGAGGAGUAAGAAACCUCGAAUUCGACGAUGAAAGAAUCGGAGGUAACAAAUAAAAUUGAAGAUAGAGAGAAAGGGCCUGAGUGAUUGAGAGAAGAGACGACCGAAGAUCUAAAGUUGGGGAGAAAAGUGGUGGAAAAGAGUUAUGGAUCUAUAGAAAAUAAAAAAUCUCCGGAUAUUAAUCUACCAAAAAUAGAAAAUAUACUGAUCUACCAAGAAAUAUGAGAUCUUCGAAUGAUGAUUCACUAGAAAAUAGAGGAUCUGUAGGAAAAUAGAGGAUAUGCGGAUCCACUGAAAAAUAGAAAAUCUUCGGAUGUUGAUUCACUCAGAAACAGAUAUUGAUAGAUUGGCAAUGGGGGAUCUUCAAAGCUUCUAGAUAUGGCAAUGACGGCUACAAAAAAGGCGGAAGAGAUGGUGACAACAAAUUAGAUGAUCGGUGGUUUUGAUACGAUGUUGAAAUCUUGGCAGAAGAAAAGAAAAACAAGAGAGAAAAAAAAGAGAAAAGUGAUUUUAUUUCUUUAUUCCAUCACAUUUUGUACAUCUCAAAGGUUAUAUAUACUCGUAUAUAUAAGAAAAAUAAUAUAGGCUGAUAUGUGAUCACGCUAACAAAGAAAAAUAUUAUGGGCGAUACAGGUUGUUAUGUGAUCCC
rnacentral:lncRNA from 1 species